AGCUGGAGGGCAACUUCUAGCUGGAGCUGAGAACUUGGUCAAACUUGGUCAUUUAGAGGAAGUACAAGUCGUAACAAGGUUUCCGUAGGUGAACCUGCGGAAGGAUCAUUA
rnacentral:rRNA from 1 species